rnacentral:rRNA from 1 species
AUUGAACGCUGGCGGCAGGCCUAACACAUGCAAGUCGAGCGAGCGGCGGACGGGUGAGUAAUGUAUGGGGAACUGCCCGAUAGAGGGGGAUAACUACUGGAAACGGUGGCUAAUACCGCAUACCAUCAGAUGUGCCCCGAUGGGAUUAGCUAGGAGGUGGGGUAAUGGCUCACCUAGGCGACGAUCCCUAGCUGGUCUGAGAGGAUGACCAGCCACACUGGAACGGAGACCCGGUCCAGAAUCCUACGGGAGGCAGCAGUGGGGAAUAUUGCACAAUGGGCGCAAGCCUGAUGCAGCCAUGCCGCGUGUAUGAAGAAGUCCUUAGGGUUGUAAAGUACUUUCAGCGGGGAGGCGUUACCCGCAGAAGAAGCACCGGCUAACUCCGUGCCAGCAGCCGCGGUAAUAC